rnacentral:lncRNA from 1 species
GCGUGGCUCCGACGGUGACAUCCACCAUCAUGAACGUUAGAUCCAAGCACAAAACUUUGAACGUUUACUUCUAAGCUGAAUAUUAAUUAGACCCAGACACAAAUAUCUUUGAAUGUUUGGUUCUAAGCCUUGUCACCUUUUCUUUUUCCAAAACAACUGGCUUUGCCGCUGCUGUCAAAUAUGCCAAACAAUCCAUUUCAACAAAUUAGCAACUUUCAGAAAUGUC